ensembl:rRNA 5S_rRNA 5S ribosomal RNA
GCUUACGGCCACACCGGCCUGAGUACGCCUGAUCUCGUCCGAUCUCGGAAGCUAAGCAGAGUCGGGCCUGGUUAGUACUUGGAUGGGAGACAGCCUGGCAAUACCAGGUGCUGUAAGCU